rnacentral:rRNA from 1 species
GAGUUUGAUCAUGGCUCAGGACGAACGCUGGCGGCAGGCCUAACACAUGCAAGUCGAACGCCCUAGCAAUAGGGAGCGGCGAACGGGUGAGUAAUGCAUCGGAACAUGUCCAUUGAUGGGGGAUAGCCCGGCGAAAGCCGGAUUAAUACCGCAUGAGCCCGAGAGGGGAAAGUGGGGGACCGCAAGGCCUCACGUCGAUGGGUUGGCCGAUGUCCGAUUAGCUAGUUGGUGGGGUAAAGGCCUACCAAGGCGAUGAUCGGUAGCUGGUCUGAGAGGAUGAUCAGCCACACUGGGACUGAGACACGGCCCAGACUCCUACGGGAGGCAGCAGUGGGGAAUUUUGGACAAUGGGGGCAACCCUGAUCCAGCCAUUCCGCGUGAGUGAAGAAGGCCUUC